rnacentral:tRNA from 1 species
CAGGGACUGGCCAACGCGGUCGGGAUGGCGGCGGCCGCCCGCCGCGAACGCGGCCUGUUCGACCCCGACGCCCCGGAC